CGGGGGGCAGCAGUGGGGAAUAUUGCACAAUGGGCGCAAGCCUGAUGCAGCGACGCCGCGUGCGGGAUGGAGGCCUUCGGGUUGUAAACCGCUUUUGUUUGGGAGCAAGCCCUUCGGGGUGAGUGUACCUUUCGAAUAAGCACCGGCUAACUACGUGCCAGCAGCCGCGGUAAUACGUAGGGUGCGAGCGUUAUCCGGAUUUAUUGGGCGUAAAGGGCUCGUAGGCGGUUCGUCGCGUCCGGUGUGAAAGUCCAUCGCCUAACGGUGGAUCUGCGCCGGGUACGGGCGGGCUGGAGUGCGGUAGGGGAGACUGGAAUUCCCGGUGUAACGGUGGAAUGUGUAGAUAUCGGGAAGAACACCAAUGGCGAAGGCAGGUCUCUGGGCCGUUACUGACGCUGAGGAGCGAAAGCGUGGGGAGCGAACAGGAUUAGAUACCCGGGU
rnacentral:rRNA from 1 species